rnacentral:lncRNA from 1 species
AAAGGAGUAGUUGAAACCCCUAUUUCAAAGGAAAAUGCACAAAAAUAGUGGUCUGCUAAAACCACCUGUAGCACCUGCUAUGAACCGUAGCAGACAUAACCCCCCAACUUCAAUUGGAAAGCCAGAACCAGUGGCCUCCUACGGCCACCCGUAGCAGGAAAGCGUGUGAUUUUUAGAAACUUUCCCUUUUUAGGCCAAAUUUGGAAAUUAUUGGUGAUUGGGCUAUUUUCAGACCUGAUCUUAUUGUCUAGAAAAAUCUGAUUGACUAGGGGAAUCUGCAAAAGGGAUAUUUCUCUAUUUAAGCGAAUUUGCUAUCAUAGUUGAAAGUACUUCUUUUUGGA